rnacentral:rRNA from 1 species
UACGGAGGGUGCAAGCGUUAAUCGGAAUUACUGGGCGUAAAGCGCGCGUAGGCGGUUUUGAUAAGUCGAUUGUGAAAUCCCCGGGCUCAACCUGGGAAUUGCAGUCGAGACUGUCAGACUAGAGUGUGGGAGAGGGUGGUGGAAUUCCCGGUGUAGCGGUGAAAUGCGUAGAUAUCGGGAGGAACAUCAGUGGCGAAGGCGACCGCCUGGCCCAACACUGACGCUGAGGUGCGAAAGCGUGGGUACGCAAACAGG